rnacentral:rRNA from 1 species
AGAGUUUGAUCCUGGCUCAGGAUGAACGCUAGCGGCAGGCUUAAUACAUGCAAGUCGAGGGGUAACAGGUCUUCGGACGCUGACGACCGGCAAACGGGUGCGGAACACGUACACAACCUUCCUUUUGGUGGGGGAUAGCCCGGAGAAAUUUGGAUUAAUACCCCAUAAGAUACUUUGAUUGCAUAAUUAGAGUAUUAAAGAUUUAUUGCCAGAAGAUGGGUGUGCGUAUGAUUAGGUAGUUGGUUGAGGUAACGGCUCACCAAGCCUUCGAUCAUUAACUGGUGUGAGAGCACGACCAGUCACACGGGCACUGAGACACGGGCCCGACUCCUACGGGAGGCAGCAGUAAGGAAUAUUGGUCAAUGGACGCAAGUCUGAACCAGCCAUGCCGCGUGAAGGAUGACGGCCCUCUGGGUUGUAAACUUCUUUUAUGGGGGGAGAAAAAAGGGUUUUUUAACCCGUCUGACGGUACCCUAUGAAUAAGCACCGGCUAACUCCGUGCCAGCAGCCGCGGUAAUACGGAGGGUGCAAGCGUUAUCCGGAUUCACUGGGUUUAAAGGGAGCGCAGGCGGAUUUGUAAGUCAGUGGUGAAAGGCUUAAGCUUAACUUGGGAACUGCCAUUGAUACUAUAAGUCUUGAAUGUUGUUGAGGUUUGCGGAAUGGGUCAUGUAGCGGUGAAAUGCAUAGAUAUGACCCGGAACACCUAUUGCGAAGGCAGCAGGCUAAACAAAUAUUGACGCUGAGGCUCGAAAGCGUGGGGAUCAAACAGGAUUAGAUACCCUGGUAGUCCACGCCCUAAACUAUGAUUACUCGACAUACGCGAUACCACUGUGUGUGUCUGAGCGAAAGCAUUAAGUAUCCCCUGAG